AUGGUGCUGGUGGCCAUUGCGCUGGUGUCAGCCCCGCUGGCUGCCGUGGCCGGUGACCCUGACAUCCUCACUGAUUUCGUCGUGCCCACAACGCUGAUCGGCAUUCCCAUCAACAUCACCGGCGACUACUUCACCUACACCGGCUUCCGCCGUGCCACUGCCUCCAUGGCAGAAUUCACGGUGUCCAAGGCCUCCAUGGCAGAAUUCCCUGCUCUCAACGGGCAGAGCGUUUCGUACGCCAAGCUCAGGUUCCCGCCGAGCACCGUGAACCCGACGCACACCCACCCCCGAGCUGCCGAGCUGCUCCUCCUCCUCGAGGGCACGCUCUCUGUUGGCUUUGUUGACACCGCUGGCAAGCUCUACACCAAGGACCUUGUCGCUGGUGACAUGUUUGUGUUCCCCAAGGGCAUGGUGCACUACCAGUCCAACCAGGGGUCUCGGCCCGCGAUGGCACUCUCCGCGUUCGGCAGCGCCGCCGCGGGGACCGUGUCCGUGCCCGUCACCGUGUUCGGCACCGGAGUGGACGAUUUUGUGCUCGCCAAGUCAUUCAAGACUGACGUGCCCACUGUGCAGAAGCUCAAGGAGGCGCUCACUCCGCCACCCAAGAAAUAA
rnacentral:rRNA from 1 species